rnacentral:rRNA from 1 species
AGUGAACGCUGGCGGUAGGCCUAACACAUGCAAGUCGAACGGCAGCACAGUAAGAGCUUGCUCUUACGGGUGGCGAGUGGCGGACGGGUGAGGAAUACAUCGGAAUCUACUUUUUCGUGGGGGAUAACGUAGGGAAACUUACGCUAAUACCGCAUACGACCUACGGGUGAAAGCAGGGGAACUUCGGACCUUGCGCGAUUGAAUGAGCCGAUGUCGGAUUAGCUAGUUGGCGGGGUAAAGGCCCACCAAGGCGACGAUCCGUAGCUGGUCUGAGAGGAUGAUCAGCAACACUGGAACUGAGACACGGUCCAGACUCCUACGGGAGGCAGCAGUGGGGAAUAUUGGACAAUGGGCGCAAGCCUGAUCCAGCCAUACCGCGUGGGUGAAGAAGGCCUUCGGGUUGUAAAGCCCUUUUGUUGGGAAAGAAAAGCAGCAGGUUAAUACCCCGCUGUUCUGACGGUACCCAAAGAAUAAGCACCGGCUAACUUCGUG